CUGGGCUGUGCGGGGUGCUCCGAGGCGGCUGCGGGAUGAGGUGGCUGCGUGUGGGGGUUCCUGGAGUGCGGGGAUGGAGUUUUUGGGCAAAAACGGGUCGCUUAGCACGAUAUUUACUAUGAAAAGUCAUAAAGAAUAGACUGGAAGAUAUUUCAGAGAUAACUGGUUUCCCAUCUCCCAGAGUAGUCCUGAUGGUCUUGGAGACGCAGCUUCCUUCAGGAUCUGCUGUGUGGAGUAAGGACCGGAGUGGAUCGGAUUCACCCCAGGAGAGGGCAGCAGUGUGCUUGCACAAAAUCGCCCUGUCUUGGCUCUGUAGGGUCUUUCUUUUGUACCAAGUAUCGGAUUCCUAUUAAAUCAAUUUUAAAAGCAGUACACCAAUGAAUCCCUUUGCAACAUUACUUAAAAAUGUAUUUAUUUGUAUUUAAAGCGCUAGGGUCCAGGGACAUUGAUGUUGUGUAUUUUAGCCAAGCUUCCCUCCAAGGAAGAAGGUGAAGCUUCUUUCUACUGGUAUCAGUUUUCCUACCCUGCAGA